GACUCAGGAGCCCAGCUGGCUUCACGUAGUGGAUCCCGCCGCGGGGACGCGGGCGGAGCUGCCCGCCAGUCCCACGCGCGCGCGCGCGCGCUCCCGCACUCCUCACCCCUUGGGCGGUCAAUGGAACCGGGUGCUGCCAAACAUGGGGCGGCGCACGUCACGGAGGCCCGGCUGCCCGGGAGCCCGCCGCAGUGGCGGGGGGCGGGGCUUGGGCAUGGCGGGCUGCAGGUCCUGAGCCCUCCCCUGGGGGUAGGCGGCUGAGGCCUGUUGAGAAUUAAAGCGCGGCGCGGGCGGGCUGGCAGUGCUGGGGGACCCGGCGCACCCUCCACAGCUGCUGGCCCCGGUGCUAAGCCCCGCUGAGCCUGCGCCCACCCGGAACUGGCGCUGGCUCGCGAGCGCGGCGCGCAGCCCCAGCUCCCGCCCGUGCCUCUCCCUCCACACCUCCCUGCAAGCAGAGGGAGCCGGCUCCGGCCUCAGCCAGCCCAGAAGGGGGCUCCCACAGCGCAGCAGCGGGCUGAGGGGCUCCUCAAGCACUGCCAGAGUGGACGCUGUGGCCUAAAGAGCAUUUGAGGAAACUGUCUUCCUGAACUCCACAAAUUUUGUAUGUUAUUUCAGCACUUGAGGAAACCGUCUUCCUGAACUCCACUGCAUCUCAGAUGUGCUGUUACCUGGGAGUUCAUUUGAAAAACAGGGGACAAAGCUGAGAGUCAUCAUUAUACUAAAAAUAAAGAUGCUUCAAAUCUGAAAAUAUUUAUAGAGGCUUGCUAGGAAAGAUAACUGUUAGAACUUUGGUUCAAAUGAAUGAAAAUAUUGAAUUCCAAAAAGCAUCCAAUGAAUGGCAGCUUUGUUCACUUUAAAUUCAUACAAUUACUCAGAUUCACUUAAUAUGUUUUAUUAAAUGUCUUUAUUAGUAGAUAGAAAUGAUUCAUGAAGCAGUAUAUUAAGCUAUCAACCCAUAUAAUCAAGUUUCAAUUCCUACUGCAGGAAUAUUUUUGAAUUUGCAGUAUCCAAAAUAUUUCCUUGAUGCCUGGAACUUGUUUUGUAAGAAAUGACAUUUCUUAAUUUUUAUUUCAAUGCUGAUUUCUUACCAACUCUUUAUGAUUAUCAUGACCAAUGUAAACCUUGGUUCACACCCUUUUUCAAGUUACCACA
rnacentral:lncRNA from 1 species